rnacentral:rRNA from 1 species
GACGAACGCUGGCGGCGUGCCUAAUACAUGCAAGUUGAGCGAUGAAGAUUGGUGCUUGCACCAAUUUGAAGAGCAGCGAACGGGUGAGUAACGCGUGGGGAAUCUGCCUUUGAGCGGGGGACAACAUUUGGAAACGAAUGCUAAUACCGCAUAACAACUUUAAACAUAAGUUUUAAGUUUGAAAGAUGCAAUUGCACCACUCAAAGAUGAUCCCGCGUUGUAUUAGCUAGUUGGUGAGGUAAAGGCUCACCAAGGCGAUGAUACAUAGCCGACCUGAGAGGGUGAUCGGCCACAUUGGGACUGAGACACGGCCCAAACUCCUACGGGAGGCAGCAGUAGGGAAUCUUCGGCAAUGGACGAAAGUCUGACCGAGCAACGCCGAGUGAGUGAAGAAGGGUGUCGGAUCGUAAAACUCUGUUGGUAGAGAAGAACGUUGGUGAGAGUGGAAAGCUCAUCAAGUGACGGUAACUACCCAGAAAGGGACGGCUAACUACGUG